rnacentral:rRNA from 1 species
AUUGAACGCUGGCGGCAGGCCUAACACAUGCAAGUCGAGCGGAUGAAGGGAGCUUGCUCCUGGAUUCAGCGGCGGACGGGUGAGUAAUGCCUAGGAAUCUGCCCGGUAGUGGGGGAUAACGUCCGGAAACGGGCGCUAAUACCGCAUACGUCCUGAGGGAGAAAGUGGGGGAUCUUCGGACCUCACGCUAUCAGAUGAGCCUAGGUCGGAUUAGCUAGUUGGUGGGGUAAAGGCCUACCAAGGCGACGAUCCGUAACUGGUCUGAGAGGAUGAUCAGUCACACUGGAACUGAGACACGGUCCAGACUCCUACGGGAGGCAGCAGUGGGGAAUAUUGGACAAUGGGCGAAAGCCUGAUCCAGCCAUGCCGCGUGUGUGAAGAAGGUCUUCGGAUUGUAAAGCACUUUAAGUUGGGAGGAAGGGCAGUAAGUUAAUACCUUGCUGUUGUGACGUUACCAACAGAAUAGGCACCGGCUAACUUCG